GUCUACCAGGAGAAGGUGAAUGACAAGCUUUUAGCUGCACUUCAGCAAUAUCCAUGUUUGGGUCUGCAAGAAGUAUCAACAAUGAAGGUCAUUGUGUUGGUGAUCAUGUCAAUGCUUCUUACCAAUUCAUGCCAAUGUGUCAGUUCAAGGAGCAUCGAGGGGAAUGCAAUGCAAGUGAAGAGCAUGCGCAAACUGACUUCUAUUUCUGUUUAUGGAAGGAGUACCCCUGCUGGUGAGGAAAUUCAUCAUGCGUGUCCACUAUUGAACUACCCCUGCCAAGGGAUGUUCCACAGUUCCAUGGAGAGCACAGAAGAAGAAGUU
rnacentral:rRNA from 1 species